GCCACUUCCGGUUGCUAACGGUUCCCAAACAGCCCCCGAAAACGCUACGUGAGCUGGGCCCUGGGCCAGAGGCAGAAAACGGACGGAAGAAAAGGUCUGGCCGGAGAUGGGUCUCACUCUGUCACCCAGACUGGAGUGCAGUGAGUGGUGCGAUCAUAGCUUACUGCAGCCUGAAACUCCUGGGCUCAAGUGAUCUUCUCGCCUCAGCCUCCUGAGUAGCUGGAGCUACAGGUGUGAGCUACCCAGCAUGGCUCAUUUGAGAUUUCUGAGUAGAGAAGUAACAUGAUUAAACUUGGGUAUUGAGAUUAUUAUUUUGGCUGCUAUGUUAACAGUAGACUUGAAUGUGAAGGGGUUGGGCAAGGGCAGAAGCAGGGAGACAGGUUGGAAAGUUGGAGUGGGAAGGGCCUUUUUAAGAAUAACACAAACCCCUAAAGACAUAAAACUGAAAAGGCCAUGGAGGAAAAGAUAAAUGAAACUGGCCUUGUAAAAUUGAAAUAUUUGAAUGAAAAAAGUAAAAAUAAAAUAUAAACUAAAAGUAAAAUAUGCCACACAUCUAAAAGACACAGCUGAUUUUCCUGAUAUACAAAGACCUUUUAUCUUACCAAAAAAUAAAAAUAUGAACAAGCCAAUAGAAAAAUAGACAAAGUACUUAACCUGCAUGCAUUUAUUGUCAGGCCUCUGACAAUAUGAUACUAAGCCAUCAUAGCCCCUGUGACCGCCACGUAUACAUCCAGAUGACCUGGAGCAACUGAAGAACCACAAAAGAUGGCAUUCCACCAUUGAGAUUUGUUCCUGCCCCACCCCAACUAAUCAAUCGACCUUGUGACAUUCCCCCUGCCCCCGACAGUGAGUCUCAUGAUCUCCCCACCCAGCACCUUGGCACCUUGUGACCCCCGCCCCUGCCCACAAGAGAUAACCACCUUUAACUGUAAUUUUCCACUACCUACCCAAAUCCUAUAAAACUGCCCCACCCCUAUCUCCCUUUGCUGACUCUCUUUUUGGACUCAGCCCACUUGCACCCAAGUGAAAUAAACAGCCUUGUUGCUCACACAAAGCCUGUUGGUGGACUCUCUUCACACAGACUCACUUGACAUUUAUAGAACACAAAAUUAAGAAUAGUGAAUAUGAAAAGGUUCACUAAUAAGAAUUUAAACAAAACAAGAAAGAUUUUUAAGAUUGCUAAAGACAAACGAUUUAUAAUAUUCAGUGUUAGGAGGUGUGUGGAUAUACAGGCAUACUUAGUUUUACAUUUUUAGAAGGUAAGACUUAUUUAGAAGGUAAGAAGUUGUCCAUACCCCUUGAUUCAACAACUUAGCUUCUUGGAAUUAUCCAUAUAGAAAUGCUUACAUAAAUGUUUGAACGUAUGUACAAAGAAGCACUAUUUAUUUAAAUUGGGAAACUUGAAUGCCUAACAUUUGGAAUUUAAAUUUUUAUAUGUCUAUUCAUUAAAAUACCACCCAGUUUUUAGAAACUAAGAGAUGCUAAAGGUAUAUUGAGUAAAAUAAAAAGUUACAAAAGAUAUGGUAUGAUUGUUUUUGUGAAAAUUAUUAUCUUAAAAAUGUUGGCCGGGCAAGGUGGCUCACACCUGUAAUCCUAGCACUUUGGGAGGCCGAGGCAGGCGGAUCACGAGGUCAAGAGAUCGAGACCAUCCUGGCCAACACGGUGAAAGCCCAUCUGUACUAAAAAUACAAAAAUUAGCUGGGCAUGGUGGCAUGUGCCUGUUAGUCCCAGCUACUUAGGAGGCUGAGGCAGGAGAAUCACUUGAACCCAGGAGGUAGAAGUUGCAGUGAGCCGAGAUCAUGCCACUGCACUCCAGCCUGGCGACAGAGUGAGACUCUGUCUUAAAAAAAAAAAAAAAAUUCACUAUGAGUAUCAGUUGGGGGUAAACUUAAGGAGAACCUGCAUUUUAUACAUUAUAUAUUUCUGGAACAUUUCAAUUUCUUAUGAAGAUUUGCUACUGGUAUAAAUGGGAAAAGAUAAUUGUUCUUAAAACCCUAUUUAUUCUCCACAACCUAUAAAAAAAUUUUCCUGUUUGGAGAAUUUCAUCAAUAUCUAUUUUCCUCCUCUGAAAUUCUUUGCCUGACAAGUCAAAGAUAAGUAAUGCAUUCACAUAAAUUUAUUAGAAAGAAUAAAUGUCCCCAGCAUCUAGUUUGACAAUAUUUUUUUGUGAAAUGUAUAUCCUUCCAUAGAUAUAUAUACCUUUUGUAGAUACAUACCUUUCAUCUUAAAGGAAUUAUGCCUUGUAAAAGGGUAUAAUUCCUUUAAUAUGAAAAUCAGAUUCAACUUCUGUGUGCUUUUUAAGGGCAAAUAUAAGUGAGCAAAUAAAUUUGUGUGGAUUAUUUAGAAAGUGUAGAUAUAAAUAAUUUUCAAAUAUGCUUUAGAACACUCUCCCACUCUGGGAAGAAAAUUUUAGAAAAAGGAUAACCCCUGCAUUUCUUUCCAUUAGAAGUACAUGAUCAAAAGACAAAGUCCCUUUUUCCCUUGACUGUGACAUAACAUGUCCCUCAUAGGCAACUGAACAGAUAAAAAAUCCAGACGAUGCUUAGUAAUUUCCUGCUUCCCCUUUAGUGCACAGUGUAUUAUCAGUAUGUUUUGCCCUCUUUAUUUAAUAUCUUGCUGAAUUAAAUUAUCUCAUCAGGUUUUUAAGCACAAGCCCAGCCUGCUUUCUGGAUGACACCUGCCACAGGUCAUCCUUCCUGAAUUUCCUAAAUAGCCCAGAAUAUUCUUCAAGCAUGCCCCUGGCUCAUCAUCCAACUUCAGAGAAUCAACUGGCUAGCACCUUGGAGCACCUGCUGUGGUAACGUGAGUGGCUGAACACCAGACAAAAGGAGGCUCCCAAUCACUGUUGCAGAUCUUGUUAAAAUCCUGGCUCUAUCCUCAGCUUAGGUGUAUUCUUCUUGUACUAGGAUAAAGCCUCUCUGACCUCUUCAUUAAGGCCUAAGUAUACAGUAUGGUAUAUGACAAGCAGGACCUUCCUCUCCUCCCCCUGUAUCUUCCCAAACUACAAAAACAGAAAGCCCCCAACCUUCUCACCCCUGCCUCACACAAAUCCCCACAGUGGACUGUUUAAAAAAUAACAGUACUUGGUAGAUAUAUAUUCUCACUUGCUUUCAUUAUAGAAAAAAGAAAGAAAAUAAAUGAACUAAACAUCCAACUCAAGGAAUUACAAAAAGGAGAAAGCCUCCUCUGCCCCCAAGGAAAAAGUUGGAAAAAAAUAAAAGUAAAAGCAGAAUAAAAUGGAUUAGAAAAUAGAAAAAUAGUGACAUUAAUAAAUAAAUACAAAAAUGUUUGUUAACAAGCCCAUAAAAGCAACAAGCCUAUGGUAAAUCCAAUUGAGAGAAAACAUUUAAACAUUAUAAAUCACAAAUAGCAGAUGAAGAGGAAAGUAGCCUGCUAACAUUUUUGAAAAUCUCAAUGAGAUUAGUGAUUUUCUGGGAAAAAAUAUUAGUUCCAAAAUUCAUUUAAGAAGUAGAAAAAUCUAAAUAAACCAACCCUACCCUAAAGACAAUAAUUGAAGAAGUUAUGAAAGAGUA
ensembl:lncRNA ZSCAN16-AS1 ZSCAN16 antisense RNA 1